rnacentral:rRNA from 1 species
CUACUUAGUCUUAGUUUUGUCAAUGCCCAAUCUCAUCAGAUCUGAGAAACGAAGCAGAGCUGUGCCUGGUUAGUAUUUGGAUGGAAGAACAUGGAGAAUACCAGGUGCCACAGUGGG